CCGCGGGCGGCGGGGACCAUCGCCGCGAUGGUGCGUGACCAUCGCCGCGAUGGUGCUGACCAUCGCCGCGAUGGUGCGUGACCAUCGCCGCGAU
rnacentral:tRNA from 1 species